CUCGCCGGCCAUAGGAGGCAGGCAACGCCCGGACUCAUAUCGAACCCGGAAGCUAAGCUGCCUCCGCGGCUACCCCCGUGAGGUCCGAAAGGCCUCGCAGGGGUGCCGUGCCGGCAGGG
rnacentral:rRNA from 1 species